UACGUAGGUCCCGAGCGUUAUCCGGAAUUAUUGGGCGUAAAGGGUACGCAAGUGGUUAUGUAAGUCUGGUGUGAAAUUUUUGGGCUCAACCCAAAAAGGUCAUUGGAAACUGCAUGACUUGAGAGCAGGAGAGGUAAGUGGAAUUCCUAGUGUAGCGGUGAAAUGCGUAGAGAUUAGGAGGAACACCAGUGGCGAAGGCGGCUUACUGGACUGUGUCUGACACUGAGGUACGAAAGCGUGGGUAGCAAACAGG
rnacentral:rRNA from 1 species